GGGGUUCUUAUUUGAUGGCUUUUUCGGCAAGUCCAAUGGUCGCCAGCUGUGCAUGAUGUCUUAGAAAAGAGGGGAAGGAAGAGAGGAAAGAAGGUCGGAGCUUGCCUCAGGCUCCAAUGACAUCUCUGGCUCCAAUUUUCGACAAGCAAGGGUCUAGAAAUCUGACAUAAAUCAAGAGAAAUGGAGAGAAAAACCUUGGUGAUUUCUAAUGGAGAUUCAUAGGAGAGGGAGAGAGAGUUUUAUAGGAUGGAGGGGAGGUUGAAUCUUAGCUGGAUUUGGUUUCCUCUCUGAUCUAUUCUCGUGGAAGAAGACUAGCUCCCGAUGGGAGUCUUCAAUAUUCUCUUUUCUUUUUUUUUGUUUUCUUAUUCAUGCCCUGAGAUUCAUGUAAGGGGAAAUUUUUGAGGCUGGGUAUUACAUUAAAUUAAGAAAAAUGUAGGAAACAAAAAUAAAAAAUUUCAAUUAUGAAAUAAAAAAAUAAAAUUUGAGCAUAUAAUUUGUCCUACCAUUUGCCUUCCCUUUACUAUCCUAGAUAAUGAGUUAAAGUGU
rnacentral:lncRNA from 1 species